CCUCCCCUUAGCGAGGCUGCUGGGAAGAGGACUCAGGACCUCGGGGUUUGAGGCCUGCCUUGUGCUGUCGGCCAGCAGCUCGCGGGCCCUUCGGGAGGGAGAGGACACCUGGGCCGCUGAGCAGACUCUCACCGCACCCUCGAGGCCUGCCCUCCCGGGGACCCGAGGAGCUGAUCCCCUCCCGUGCGCGGCCUGCGCCAGCCGCCAGCCGGAGCCAGUGGGUUAAGGAGAUGAGUAAAGGAGGGCGUGGAGCCUCAGCUUGGCCGCAGGGAAUGAAAUGUGAAGCACAUAACAUUUUGCAUCUACUCAAAGAAGACUGAGAUUGGCUGACAGGUCUCAUCUUUUCUGGAGGGGAAAACUUGUCCAGAGCUUGGUUGCCUCCCAAGAGAGUCCACCCAGAGUCCUAGAAAACAAUGUUGCUAAACUGAAAGGGAUUGGGAGUGGAGGAACAGACAAGUCCAACAGCAGCAAGGUCCAUGAAGAAUGUGCUGCCGGAAGUGUUUCUGAGAUUCAGCUGCUCCUGAAGUUGAAGAAAAGCACAUCUGGGAGGAGAAAUAUGUCGCCAACUCUGUGGUCCUUUGGAGAACUUAAGACCCUUGAGUCUGUAACCUUGGAAGCAAGAUUGGGAUCCAGUAAAACUGAGGUCAAGUGCUGGGGCAGAAUAACUUGAAUGGUUAAGGUGGAAAAGGCUGUGGGUAAUGUGCGCUGCUCUGCUCCCAGCUCUGCUCGAACUCCCUCUUCAAUGCCCAGGGGUAUCCAACCGCAGCCCUACCGGGAUACCCUGAAGCCAGAUGCUCCCCAAUUCUCCUCACCUACACAACAACCUUCAUGCAGUUCUAAGAAUCACAACAGGAACGUGCAGCCGCUCCUGUGAACUUACACGGAUGUUCUCAGAUUGCUAAUGUGACAUCUAGACAGAAAUUCACAUAUAUUAGGAUAUCAGAUGGGCAGCCCCGGUGGCUCAGCAGUUUAGCACCACCUUCAGCCCAGGGCCUGAUCCUGGGGA